CCUGGUCAGAAGAGCUCCAUCACUGUUUUCCAGAGCAGGACUCUAUUCCAGAGCUUCAGUGCCAGCUGCAAAUGAAUGUUAGCAGAGAUUCAAGGCAUCAUGUCCCAGGAAAUUUUUGUUUUUUCUAACAUGUGCAGCAGCUUUGUGUUUUGGCUUUAGUUGUUGCAGACUUUUUUUAGAUGAGCCUGGUAAUGAAACACUUCUAAAAUUUGAGAGAUUUCUUUGCCUAGAGUAGGAUAUCGGUGUGUGAAAUGCCUUUAUUUUUAUUUACUGCCUCAGGCAGUGAAGUAGAACUGCAGCUCUAUGUUUUUUCCCUGAUGGUUUGCAUGCCACAUCCUGGAAAAUCUCUCUUAAGAGAGAGAGAAGUGGGAAGAGAGAUUUGGCAUCCUAGAACAGUUUCUUUCCUUUUGCUGGUAUUUAAGGAAAUUCAGGUGGCACAGUGAUAUGUGCUGGGCCCUGGUGUCACAGCAAAAUUUCAGCUGUGAUGUUACAUAUUUGUUCUGUGUUCUGGUGGGGGUUUUCUUAUCCUGUAGAUGUUGUUGGUUUGCCCUUAGGUGCACCAGAAAAUUGGACUCCCCCUCCUAAAGAAGCACCUUCUUGCAGCACUAAGCAGUGCAAAGUGUGCAUUGCCAGUGGCUCCUUGCACUGCGUGUGAUUAUUGCUGGUGGUAGAAAAAAAUCAGAGCAUCAAAAGCUUUUUGUGUGUGUGCAUACAGUAAUUUUGCUUUUGUUUUCUGAAUUUUAGAGAAGCACACACUCAUGGGAUGGCCAGGGUUGGGAGAGACUUUAAAUUCCAAGUCCCUGCCAUGGGCAGGGAUACCUUCCACUAGAGGAGGUUGCUCCACACCCCAUCCAACCUGGAAACGAAAAUCUACUUUACUUUAAUGGAAAGACUGAGAGUAUUUUACAGCUAUUUACUGGAGGCGCUGGAAAAUUACUAGAUUGAAAAAAAAGCCCUGCUGAAUGCAAGAAAUAUGUACAUUAUGCAGUGGGCAACGAUGCACAUGGACACAUUCCUAAUGUUGUGGGGGAAGCUCACAGGUUUUCUCUUAAUGGUGGAUGGAGAAUUGAUGUUUUCCUUGUGGGUGAAAGUGCUGGCUGCAGGUAAACAGAGUAAUCCAUCCUGCUCCUGGAUGCUCCAGCCAGGAAUGUCCAACCUUGCAGUGAGGAAGAAAUGUUCAAUGAAAAAGUGGUGAUGUAGGGGAAGAGUGGGGAAAAGAAUCUCCUUCCCAAAAUUUAACCACAUUAUUGCAGUUUGUGUUUUGGGAAGUCUGGCCUUUUAGGUCAUCAUUUUGGUCUUUGGCCUUUCACCAUAUAAAUGCUGUGUGUUUUAGCCCAGGUUUCCUGCCUUACAGUGUGGUUCAUUGAAAUAUACUGUAACUGUAUAUUACUCUUAUUAUAUAAAGUCAUAUUAAACUCCAUGGUGCAUGGAUUUUCCACUUGAAUGUGAAUUUGUGUAGUAAAAGGAAUUCUAAAUGAAGUAGCUGCCAAGACUUCUCCAAGAAGAACCAAGGCAGUGAGAAUAAAAAUUUAUUAUCACAUGUUAGCA
ensembl:lncRNA